AUGAGGUACUGGUGAAAUUCUAAGGAGACAUCCCCUGUAACCCCUUGGGAGGGGAAGAAGAAAUAAGGAUUAAUCCUCUACUGCCCAGGCAGAGUCAUAAAUGCAGUUUUACAACAGUGGUGAUAACAGACCAAAACAGCAUCCUGUCAGAUGCUUCACUUCGUGGUUGGUUCCAUUGUUACACAUUUUCAUUCCGGCUUUUGAAAACCCAGCAACAAAUGGAUACAGAUUUUACCAUUCAUCCAGCCUGUAGCCUCCAGUCCAAGGCAUUAUUAAAUGUUGUUCAAAUGUUUUCAGAAAUUAAUUGCCUGUACCACAAUGAUUUAUAG
rnacentral:lncRNA from 1 species